UACGAAGGGGCUAGCGUUGUUCGGAAUCACUGGGCGUAAAGGGCGCGUAGGCGGCGUUUAUAAGUCGGGGGUGAAAGCCUGAUCGGGCUCAACCACGAGUAACUGCCUUUGAUACUGAGAUGGCUUGAGUCCGGGAGAGGUGAGUGGGAACUAGCGAGUGUAGAGGUGAAAUUCGAUAGAUAUUCGGAAGAACACCAGUGGCGAAGGCGACACACCUGGGCCAUUACUGACGCUGAGGCGCGAAAGCGUGGGGAGCAAACAGGG
rnacentral:rRNA from 1 species